rnacentral:lncRNA from 10 species
AAAAGAAGAAAACACGUCAUCAUAAAGGGCUCCUUCUGCCAAGAGGUCUGAAAGCAGCCUCAGCAGCAAGCCACAGCAGACGCGAAACGGGGAAGAGCAAUGGCAUCGCUGGUGAUCAAAGGCCUGGCCGAGCUACCCCAGGCUCCAUACCAUCUCCGGAGAUGCCUGGCUUGGGGAAGGUCCUUGGUAAGAGAAGCAGUUCUCAGCCUCUUUCUCCGGUCAAGCUCCUCUACAGAAACAGAAAGGAGAAUAAAACAGGGGCUCAAUAUGGAUCCCAGUUACAUGAGCUUAUAUCCCAGCUGGGUUUUUUAACUGACAAAUGAAAAUGUAUAUAAAUGUAUGGUGUAAAACCAAUAUGUGGCUGGUCAUGGUGGCUCACACGUGUAAUCCCAGCACUUUGGGAGGCCAAGCAGGCGGAUCUGUUGAGCCCAGGAGUUGGAGAAACAUGGGCUGGGCAACAUGGCGAACGAAACCCUGCCUCAAAAAAAAAAAAAAAAAUUACCCAGGCAUGGUGGUGCAAACCUGUAGUCCCUGCUACUGGGGAAGCUGAGGUGGGAGGACCUCCUGAGCCCAGGAGAUAAAGGCUGCAAUGUGCUGUGAUCACACCACUGCACUCUAUCCUAGGCAACAGAGUGAGACCCUGUCUCAAAAAACAAAAAAAAAAAAAUGAUUUUUUCACAUAUGUAUACAUCCUGGAAUGACUAAGUCAAGCUAAUCAGUAUAUCUAUCACCUCAAAUACUUAUGUAUUUUUUUUUAGUGGCGAGAACAUUCUUAGCAAUUUUCAGGUAUACAAUGCAUUAUUAUUAACUAUAGUCACCAUGUUGUAUAAUAGAUCUCUAGAGCUUAUUCCUGUUAACUGAAAUUUUGUACCCUGUAACCAACAUCUCCCCAUUCUCCACACACAACUGUCAGCCCUGAGUAACCACAAUUCUUCUUUCUGCUUCUAUGUAUCUAAUUUGUUUAGAUUUCACAUAAGUAAGAUCAUGUGGUAUUUUUCUUUCUGUGCCUGGCUUAUUUCACUUAGCACAAUGUCCUCCAGGUUCAUCCAUGUUGUUGCAAAUGACAGUAUUUCCUUCUUUUUGUGGGUGAAUCAUAUUUGAUUGUGUAUAUUUAUCAUAUUUUCUUUAUCCAACCAUCCAUUGGAGUAUGCUUAGGUUGGUUCCUACAGUGAAUAACACUGCAAUGAACAUAGGAGUGCAGGUAUCUCUUUUAAAUCCUGAUUUCAUCAAAACCACAAUGAGAGACCAUCUCACACCAGUCAGAAUGGCGAUAUUAAAAAGUCAAGAAACAAGAGAUGCUGGCGAGGCUGUGGAGAAAUAGGAAUGCCUUUACACUGUUGGUGGGAAUGUAAAUUAGUUCAACCAUUGUGGAAGACAGUGUGGCAAUUCCUCAAAGACCUAGAACCAGAAACACCAUUUGACCCAGCAAUCCCAUUACUGGGUAUAUACCCAAAGGAAUAUAAAUCACUCUGUUAAAAAGAUAUUAUGCACACGUAUGUUCAUUGCAAUCCUAUUCACAAUAGCAAAGACAUAAAUCAACCCAAAUGCCCAUCAAUGAUAGACUGAAUAAAGAAAAUGUAGUACAUAUACACCAUGGAAUACUAUGCAGCCAUAAAACAGAAUGAGAUCAUGUCCUUUGCAGGGACAUGGAUGGAGCUGGAAGUCAUUAUCCUCAGCAAACUAACACAGGAACAGAAAAUCAAACACUGCAUGUUUUCGCUUAUAAGUGAGAGCUGAACAAUGAGAAUACAUGGACACAGGGAGGGGAACAACACA